GAUUAACGCUGGCGGCGUGCCUAACACAUGCAAGUCGAGCGGCAGCGAGUUUUACACUGAAUUCUGGAAGCUUCUAGUUGAAAGAGAAGAUUUAUUCAAGAAUUUUGUGUAAAAUGUCGGCGAGCGGCGGACGGCUGAGUAACGCGUGGGAACGUACCCCAAAGUGAGGGAUAACGCAUCGAAAGGUGUGCUAAUACCGCAUAUGGUCUUCGGAUUAAAGCCUUCGGGCGCUUUGGGAACGGCCUGCGUAAGAUUAGAUAGUUGGUGGGGUAAUGGCCUACCAAGUCGACGAUCUUUAACUGGUUUGAGAGGGUGAUCAGUCAGACUGGAACUGAGACACGGUCCAGACUCCUACGGGAGGCAGCAGUGAGGAAUCUUCCACAAUGGGCGAAAGCCUGAUGGAGCAACGCCGCGUGCAGGAUGAAGGCCUUCGGGUUGUAAACUGCUUUUAUAAGUGAGGAUUAUGACAGUAACUUAUGAAUAAGGAUCGGCUAACUACGUGCCAGCAGCCGCGGUCAUACGUAGGAUCCGAGCGUUAUCCGGAGUGACUGGGCGUAAAGAGUUGCGUAGGUGGUUCAAUAAGCGAAUAGUGAAAGCUGGUGGCUCAACCAUUCAGAUUAUUAUUCGAACUGUUGAACUCGAGAGCAGAAGAGGUAGCUGGAAUUUCUAGUGUAGGAGUGAAAUCCGUAGAUAUUAGAAGGAACACCGAUGGCGUAGGCAGGCUACUGGGCUGUUUCUGACACUGAGGCACGAAAGCGUGGGGAGCGAACCGGAUUAGAUACCCGGGUAGUCCACGCCGUAAACGAUGGAUACUAGCUGUUUGGGGUAUCGACCCCCUGAGUAGCGAAGCUAACGCGUUAAGUAUCCCGCCUGUGGAGUACGAUCGCAAGAUUAAAACAUAAAGGAAUUGACGGGGACCCGCACAAGCGGUGGAUCAUGUUCUUUAAUUCGAUGAUAACCGAUAAACCUUACCAGGUCUUGACAUCCUUGGAAUCUUUCAGAAAUGAGAGAGUGCUUUUUAAGAGCCAAGUGACAGGUGAUGCAUGGCCGUCGUCAGCUCGUGUCGUGAGAUGUUUGGUUAAGUCCAUCAACGAGCGCAACCCUUGUCAGUAGUUGUAUUUUUCUACUGAGACUGCCCCGGUAACGGGGAGGAAGGAGGGGAUGACGUCAGGUCAGUAUUUCCCUUACGUCCUGGGCUAGAAACGUGAUACAAUGGCUAGUACAAUGCGCAGCGAAGCCGCGAGGUGAAGCAAAUCGCAUCAAAGCUAGUCCCAGUUCGGAUUGUAGGCUGAAACUCGCCUGCAUGAAGUCGGAAUCGCUAGUAAUCGCAGAUCAGCAUGCUGCGGUGAAUACGUUCCCGGGUCU
rnacentral:rRNA from 1 species